GGCGUAAGCGCGCGCAGGUGGUUUCUUAAGUCUGAUGUGAAAGCCCACGCCUCAACCGUGGAGGGUCAUUGGAAACUGGGAGACUUGAGUGCAGAAGAGGAAAGUGGAAUUCCAUGUGUAGCGGUGAAAUGCGUAGAGAUAUGGAGGAACACCAGUGGCGAAGGCGACUUUCUGGUCUGUAACUGACACUGAGGCGCGAAAGCGUGGGGAGCAAACAGGAUUAGAUACCCUGGUAGUCCACGCCGUAAACGAUGAGUGCUAAGUGUUAUAGGGUUUCCGCCCUCUAUUGCUGAAGUUAACGCAUUAAGCACUCCGCCUGGGGAGUACGGCCGCAAGGCUGAAACUCAAAGGAAUUGAUGGGGGCCC
rnacentral:rRNA from 1 species